rnacentral:rRNA from 1 species
UACGGGGGGAGCAAGCGUUGUUCGGAUUUACUGGGCGUAAAGGGCGCGUAGGCGGCCACCGCAAGUCAGUUGUGAAAUCUCUGGGCUUAACCCAGAAAGGUCAACUGAUACUGCGGGGCUAGAGUGCAGAAGGGGCAACUGGAAUUCUCGGUGUAGCGGUGAAAUGCGUAGAUAUCUGGAGGAACACCGGUGGCGAAGGCGGCAUCCUGGACCAAUACUGACGCUGAGGAGCGAAAGCGUGGGGAGCAAACAGG